UUCACUGUUUUGCAUCUCUUCCUAGGAGAUUUUGCAGUUGUUUGGUGUCCCUCUUCAACCCUGACCUGUGGCCUGUGCCCAUUAGGCCCUUUCAGUAAUCCAUCCAUGCCUAAGACCUCCUGGGAGGCCCCAGGUGCAUCCAGGUUGCCCAACCCAAGAAAUCACCAUAGUGUUUUACUGAACAUUGCCUGAAUCAAAAGGCUCAGUAUAGCAGCUGGAGAUAAAUCCUGAAGAAUUAACAGAAUAAAGAAUAAAAGAGAAGAAUCCUGCUCAUGGGGUUCUCCAAGCCAGAUGUGAACCCAGGCGAAAGAGCUCAGUUGCUGUCAAAUCCACAAAGAAUCAACACUGCUCACAGACGUGGGUUGUACAUUACCAGGUGUGUGGUGUGAGGAAAUGCUCCGGUGACGUGCAGAGUGACUGCUUACACAAAGGUUGAACAUUUGGCAAGUCCACGAGUACCAGAUAUUUUCCUCACAAAAGGUCAAGACCACAGCAGGAGAAAGUGCUUGUGAAUGUUGGAAAAAUUACGUAAAAAGGAUGUGUAUGUAGGGCAUUGCUUGUUAACAUGUUACGUGAUGAGCUAGUUCCUGUGAGUAUAUUGUGGAGUCUUUUAUAUUCCCUAGUGGUCAACAAAACAGUGAAUGCGAUCUGUAAUUCUGUGCUUCAGCAGUUGCACGGUAAAUGUUGCAGGUGGAACAAUCACAUUGUAAUGAAAAGUGAUGCUUUUACAUAUAACUCAUCUGUUGUGUAUAAAUAAAGCAAAUAACUUACAACUGUGAAUUAUAAGGUAUUGUAAUGUUGUAGUCAGUAUUGGGAUAUUACAGUGACAUCAUACAGAGAAAGUUGGCCUUUUUGGAUACGUGUGGAAGUGGAUCUCCUGGUACAUUUUCAUU